CUGAGUGCGGCGCCUCCGGGCCCGACCUCCAACCCCAUUGUUAUCCGACCCAGUUGCCUCGGGGGUGACCCGGCCUUCGGGCCCGGGGCCCCCGGUGGACCCCAACCAAACACUGCAUCUUUGCGUCUGAGUGAUUAGCGAAUCAAUCA
rnacentral:misc_RNA from 1 species